UUCCCAAGAGUCUGAUUAGUUUUGAGGGUGACUAGAGGCUCAGUUGGCCUUGAGGGAAAGAAGUAUAUAAAGUUUUUGUUUGAGAGUUGAGCCUCACAAGUUCAUGUUCUCCAGAUUUUAGAGAGAUAAACUAGAGAGGUGAUUUAGAUCUUUGGUGAGCUGAAAUUAGAGUUUGGUUUGUAGAGACUAUCUACCUGAUAUGAGGUUGGGCGUGGAUUUUGUCAUGCCACGUGGGAGGUCCUAGGGAUUCCCUACCCCAAUCACGCCAAGCGCAGGUUGAAAAGUGUCAAGCGUGGACGAUACAGAGAACUUUCUGUCUUAGUGGCACUGACACGAGAUAAGUUGCAUCGGGCCCAGGUUUUGUU